CGGGAUAUAGCUCAGUUUGGUAGAGCGCAUGCUUCGGGAGUAUGAGGUCGCAGGUUCAAUUCCUGUUAUCCCGA
rnacentral:tRNA from 1 species